CCAAGUGCCGUCUGUUACCUGUUUAAUUCUGAGAAGCCCAGUUCUUUGGAAGAAUCUUCUAGUUGAUCAGUUUUGAUACUUAAUCCAGAAAACAAAGAGCUCAUUAAUGAUUUUUCUUUCCCUUUUAGGCAAAGGAGGAAACUUCCAAGCCAAAAACUGAUGAAAAAAACACAAGUUAAAGUUCACAUUUGGGUAUCUGCAUUUAAAAUCUUCAGCUGGUAGAUGGUGACUUUUGAAGAACAAAAGGCUUUGACAACAGAAAUUUUUCUGGGUGGCUUCUAGACAGUGGUAUUUGUUGAGUCUUUUGACAUCCUAAACAUUGGUUUGUUAUUCUUUUCCUGGAAAGAAACUGAAUCUGUCUGGUUUACCUGUGCUAUAUUGUACUGAGUAUCGAUAAACUUUGAAUUUUUAAAAAUUGCCUUCAGUUGGGAGAGAAAGGAACUUUAUAUUUCUAAUAGAUCCAUUUGAUAGUUUCUUAAAGCAACACAAAAAAAGGAAAAACCUUUGCAAACUUUUGCACAUUCUACACACAGUGCCUGUAAAUCUCAGUAGUAUUUUCAGUUUGCACUUCAUUUUUGUUGUUGUUAGCAUUUGGAAAACAGUGCUUUAAACCUUCUCAGUGUUCUGAUCUCAUGACCUUUCCUCUUUGGGCUUUUGAACUGUAUUUGACGUUUCUUUGGGUUAAUGUUUAUAAGUCAAACAUAAGAUAUUGUACAUUGGGCAUAUAUCUCCUCUUGGGCUGCUAAAAAUAAAUUAAUACUCGUAGAUGACCUGAACAGACCAGGAAGCACUGCACCCCUUUUCGGGUUGAACUCUUCCUUGUCAGAGGUGAGGACUUCUGCACCUUACAGCCAGCACAAAACACACAGACUUGAACCAAGUCAGGGGAGCAAAAUGCAGACUAUAUGCCACUGCAUAACAAGCUCCAAGAAUAAUAAAAUCUGCUUCUCAGAAUAUU